UUUGGUGGUGAUUGCGCAGGGGAAACACCUCUUCCCAUUCCGAACAGAGAAGUUAAGCCCUGCUGCGCCGAUGGUACUAUACUGGUAACGGUAUGGGAGAGUAGGUCGCCGCCAAGA
rfam:Chlorobi bacterium OLB7 TZ07_CHB004CONTIG000162, whole genome shotgun sequence.